rnacentral:lncRNA from 1 species
UGAUUGAUAAUUGUUUACUUAUUUCUAGCAAAAAUAUAAUAUUAACAAUAUAUAUCUUAUAUAAUCUAUAUGAGAAACGAAAUAUGGUGUUCCUCCUGAAACUGCUGCAAAAUAUAACAAUAUGCAUAUAUUCUGCCAAUGGAAGUUACAAUGUUUUGUUGAAAUCGUAUAAUCUCUAUAGCUACUGCAAAUUCUAAAAAUAUGCACAUUCUGAC